UGCUGCAUGUUGAAAGUGACAUUUGUCCUACCAUAAGCCAUACCUGUUGCUAAAUUAAUUGGCCGGUCGAUCACGGCUUCAUCUUUUGCGCAAAAAUAAAUGCUCAUCCAAAUUUUUGUCCGGAAUUUUGCACUGGAGUUUUGAACUCUUUGUCGAAAGUUUUAGAAGUUCUUUUAGAGAAUUUUGAAGGUUCAUCUAGAAAAACAAAGUCCGUUCCAAAAUGUUAAAAGGUUCGUCUAUAAAAUUUAAAAGUUUCUCUAGAGAUUUUGAAAGUUUGUCUAUUUUCUAAAAGUUCUUUGGGAAAAUUUGAAAUGAUUCUCUCAUAAAGUUUUGAAAGUUAGUUUAGAAGUUUUUGAAAGUUCACCUAGAAAAACUUAAAAGUCCGUUCGAAAAUGUUAAAAGAUCUGUAUAGAAAAUUUAAAAGUUUGUCUAGAAAUUUUUAAAGUUCAUCUAUUUAUUUAAUAGUUCUCUGGGCUCACGAGCUUCUCAUAGAACUAAAAAUUGAAAUUUCUAUGUCUAGAUUUUAAAAGUUUGUAAAAAACUUUAGCCUUUAAAAUUUUAAUAUCUGUCAUGAAGGACAUAAAAAGUUUGUUAUAGGACUUUGAAAACCUCACCGAUAUGAUUUGAAAGCGUGUAGCAUUUUCGAUUGAAAGUGGUGCCACCCGUGUAAUCCUUGAAAACCAGUCUCCCAAAAAGGGAAAAAAAAACUAAAUCCCAACAGCAGAACAUUUCUGUAGUACAAAAGAAAGAAAAAAAGGAAAAAGAGAGGAAAGGCCCGACUAGGCCUGUUAGUCAUUGGGCUGCCAGUCUGGUACGAGGCUGAGCGCGGUAGAGGCCGGGCGUCGGACGAGAGAGAGCGCGGGACAAGAAAGACAGACAAAAAGGGGAAAUAGGAAUGAAACGGAGCGUCACGCGGCAGAUUUGCCAGUUCGGACAGCUCCUGGUCGGAAUCGACCGCCCAAACGCGCGUGGGCGGUCGUCCGCCGACUAGCUCCUUAAUAGUUCCUCUAUUCCAUAAAGAUUACCGUGGUUUUGAACUAGUUUUAGUUCAAAGACGCAUCAAUUUUUAUGGAACGGGGAGUAGAUAGGUAUUCCUAUAUAUAAAUAAAUGAUAUUUCCUACGUUCCAUAAUAGGAGUACAAGGAUUUAUAAACCUUUGUUAAAAAAGCUAGGUUUUGACCAAAAAUACUCUAUUAAUUCAUACUACAUGACUUACAAGAUAUGAAAUCACUGUUAUAUGUAAGUCUGAAAAUGAAUCCGGUAAUACAAACAUCAUGACAUAUAAACAACAUAUUAUUAAAGUGAAGGUUCAAGAUUUUGAUGAUUUUUUUCGGUGAAAUAGUUCAGUUUGACUGCUAUCUGAGGCCAACACAAAAAUAGCUCAUGUAAACUUGCUUUAUCCUAAAAUCCAAUAUAAAUAUAGAUGUCAUUUUCCUUUUUAUUUUGAGAACUGAGUAAUUAAGUUGUGUAACUUGUGCUAGAGAAAUUUAUGUUCGGAUACAAUUUUUAUUAAAGUUCUAAAACGGUGGGUAUCGAAGUUUCAUAAAAUACUAGAAUAUUUUUUUUAGUAAAGUAUUUCUUGGUCAAAUUUUGUUUUACCGAAACCUUAUACUAUAGCUAACAUAAUCAAUUGACCACCAUUUUACUUGCUAGGAAGCUAUGCACAUGAUAAACCUCCGAUAAAACAUAGACCCAGCUAGCUAAUCAAAAUAAUAAUUAAGGAACAUACGUAUACGGAGUUGAUAAAAUAAUUCUUGGUUAAAGUCUUAUUUAACAAAACCCUAUAUAUCUAACCUGGGAUAUGUAAACAACAUCGUUUUGUCAUGGGUCAUGUGCUUACAUUCCAACAUGCUCUCUCCUCUGGGAGUAGAUGAGGCCCUUUUACUCUACUUUUCCGCUGCAGCUUCAUGAUACAUUGUUGUCAUGGUUUUGAACAUUAUUUGUUUAUGCUGGCCCAAGAGGUCAUGCAAGUUUGUAAGUACAAUUUAAGUUCUGGAUGAUACGAUGUAAUAAAGUACUUUUGACCUUUGUAUCUUGGUAUUACAUCUUGAACUGUGUGUGCUAGUGAGUCGAUCCAGGGACUAGCACAAGUAAGCACAGACAUCGAACCCUUGUGAAGGGGGAUCGCUUCAAUAUACGGAGCAGUAUAAGAUCUAGACAGUACUAUAUAUAAAGAUAUGAAUUCAAUGUUGGAAAUAUACAAUACUAACCCCGCUGUCUGGGAAAGGGUGAUGAAUGUCAAAGACCAAAAGUCCUUCUUGCUCAGUUUAGAGACGAAGCCACCCAGAAGUACGACGGUAGUCCAAGUAAGCACCAGGAAACCUGAGCCCUUGAUGGCCAUGGAUAGGUAGCCCAUAAACACACCAUAGGUGUUGAUAUAAUCAACCUCCUUCCAUUCGCCGUCGGCAAGUAGUUUCUUGCGAUCCGCCAUUAAUUUCCCGCCCCCCUGAAGAUUGAGUCAAGCUUGAGUCAAUUAGGGUCAACCUCCAAUGUGACUAUUAAUUAACCACCAUCUUACAAACCGAAGAGUAGUCUAGUAUGUAUAUGGAUACACACGUACUCUCCGUUCCAUAUACAGGAGGCUAGUUUAGUUUUGUCGUAAGUCAAAUCUAAAGAAAGGAUUGAAGUUUCGAAUUUUGACAUACAUACCUUCUUACUUCCGGGUUAAUUUUGACUUAGAAUAAAACUAAAAAGCCCUUCUUCAUGGAAAGGCUUAUAGAUGUUUAUAUACAUUAAUUACCUUCUCCAAAUCGUGCCCAUGAAGUGGUUUCUGGGCCUUCCAGUGAUCCGUCAUUAAUUCCCCGGGUCCCUUUAGAGUCAAUCAUAUCCGACCGGUCAAUUUUCAAUGCGAAUAUAUAAGUAAUAUAAGCAUUUUACAAAAUGAAAAGAAAUGCGUACGCAUAUUUAGUAUAUGCAUGGAUAGUUAGGGCAUGUACAAUGGGCUGACGUCGACCUUUUCUUAACAAUGCCACGUAGGAUAAUUGCUGACAUGGAAGAGAGAGGAACGAAGAAAGAGAUGGACAUUCUCUUAAUUAAGAGAUGAUCUCUUCACAAUAAUGAUAAGGCAAUUUUCUCAUUGUAGUAGAUUUCACCUUUUCUUAACAUUUAUUUCAUUAAUUUUAUUCAUCCAAACAUUAAUUGUAAUAUAUGUCACUAAGAGAUGACUUAUUGUAUAACAUGUUGCGUUGUCUUGUCUAAAUGACAUGUAACACAUAAAAAAAAAUAGGCUUAUCAACCAUUGUACAUAAGAAAAGGCAUCAGCAAUAGUGGAGUUUAGGAUCGACGAGAAAAUAAUACAUACAAUAGGAUGUGUGCUAUAAAUGACAUGUUAGCAUUAAAUGCGGUGAUGUACAAUGGUGACUAGGUAGACUCUUAGCUGACUACACUUAGUCGAUUCUUGCCUUAAGAGUCUGGCUUUUUACAAAAAGUCAGUUCUAUUCUCUCUCAUAUUUCUCUUUUCCUCCGCAUCUGCAAAUAGGAGUCGACGUCUAAGAGCCUUUGCGGAUACCUUUGUACUACUCCAAACUACUUCUAGCUAGACCAUGCAUUAAUAUAUAGAGUCCGCGCUGGUAUCGUGUGCAAGAAAAAUUAAAGAAGAAGCUAUAGUAGAGAAAAAUGCAUAUGGAUUAACUGAUCUCACCUGGCCAGAAGACGUGUGCUGUUUGCUCAAACUGUUGCCAAAGAGGAGCUAGCUCGAGUGAUUUUUUGGACGGAACGAGAGAGGCAGGGCAGGAAUCUAGGCUAGCUAGCUAGCUCUAUAAGUAGUAUCAGACGACCUAGAUCUCGUCGGGCGCGGAAGAAAUUAACUAAGGGACAUGGGAAUGUCGUCGGACAUUUAAUUCGUGGAAAAAGGAAGUGUGCUACGUACGUGUAGCGCGUGCCCAGCCCAUACUUAUAUGCGUAUGCUUAUUUUAUGUGUAGACUGUAGGGCGUCAGAAAAUACUUGAGCAUAUGUCGCCAGCCUUUUCAGCUCAGCACGGAGAAUCAUACAUAAAAUAACACGCCAUCUAGGGCUCGCCGGACGCUUUACAGUCAGCUAGCUAGCUGGUAGCGAGCAUAGGGACGCUUUACAGAAAAUACUUUCUGACUGAUGCACGCGUCCAUGCAUUGCUGAGCGUGCAAUUAACAUUCCACUAUGAGCAAUGCGUGGAAGCUGCCGGACGGAUGGACCAUGCAUGCUUAUCACUGUGGUACGUAUUUGAGCCGUUUCUGCCCAAGUUGAGGGAGAGAGAUUUCUGGCUAAUAUAAAACACAUUUUAACAUAGUAAUUUGUGAUCGAAGCUUUGUCUUAAUGAAAACUAAUAUGCCUUCUUUCAAGGAACGGAGGAAGUAUAGGCUAGCUGCGUGUUGGUUCAGAAAUCAAGGUCACUUUCACCUCUGUGUCCAGCAGCGGAGCCAACCAAUUUGUGAAGCCUGGCCAAAGUCUAAACGCUCCUUUCUAAGUUAACAUGUGCCAAUAAAUUUGUACUAAUUUAAGCAUCACAUCUACUUUAGUCUACAUUGUCUUAAGAAGGAAUUCAACUGGGAGCCUGGGCAACGCUGCCUGGGGUGGCCGGGCAGUGGCUCCGCUCAUGUCUGUGUCCAAACGGGAAAGUCUAGGGCUUUCCCCCUGCAUAGAACCCAAAUGAUGGAGCAGGAGAAGCUAGUACAUGAGCCGACGAACGAAUCUAUGAGCGUUUACCAGCAGCGGCGGAAUCAGCAAGCGGAGAAGGGGAGAGGGACCUUAAAUCCUUAAGGCCUCAUUGGGUUGUGGCAUUAACUGCAGGGAUUGAGAGGGAUCGGAGGGAAUUUGACCUAAAAUCUCAUCAAUCCCUCUCAAUCCCCACCGGGAAGGGAGUAACCGAACUGGGCCUAACGUGUUUACUGAGGUUUAGGGAAGGGGGAUGAGAGUUUAAUCCCAAUUCUCUUUCCCUCUCCCGCAAUUAUUAGGUUCCACCCACGGAAUAGAAAUUGGGAAGUCUCACAACCUAAUUUCCUUUUGCCCUUCCCCUCUAAACUCCCAAUAUGCCAACCAAACAAUAGAUUAAAUUUUUUAUCUCCUUUAAUUCUCAUUCCCUGUCUUUAAUUACUCACAAAACGAGCUGUAUAGUCAACUUAAUCCCCCUAAUAACGAAUCAAUCCAGUUUCUGACAAAUCCCGAUCUGCAGCAUGACUUGUCGUUAUCUUGCCAAUCGAGAGAAAAAGAGGAGGCCAUGAGAGUGAGGGAACGGGUGGGAUCAAUCGAUGGAGGGCCAGGAAAGUGAGGAAGACGAUGACGCAACCUGGAUGAUCUCACCUCGCAGCUUGGCGUAGGAUUUAGCGAUGGUUUCUCCGAUUCAGUUGGGUUAAUUCCUCACGUAUAUAUCUUAUAAAAAUACGGUGUGUGUGUGACUAUAUCUUGGUCGCCUGAUUUUUAAGCAAAAGACUUAAGUCUAAGUUGACAAAUCAGAGAUUAAGUUAGCUUAAGUCACCUUUCUUAGGUCCUCAGUGUACAAUUUUUUUUUUAUCUAAUCGAAUGACGGCAAUCGACUGUCGUGGCCCUAAAAAAAAUCCAUCCACGAAAGAAUCUAUGGGGCCGAAAAAUAUCUAUAUCCACCGGGUAUCUAUGGAGAUCCAUGGAUACCCAAUUACACAUUUUGAUAACCUAAAGUAAGAGGGUUCGAGAGAUGCAGAUCGGGGGUGAAUCAGAGGAGGGGUGGCUUCUCGUGAUGAAUGGGACAGAGGAACAGAGGGAGAGAGUUAGGGUUAGGGUUGCGGAGUAACUAUUUAUAUGAUUCAUAUGGUUAAAUAAUGGACCCACAUAUCAAUAAUUUAUUUAUUUAAAUACUGGGUAUCCAUGAAUAUUCAUGGAUCAAUGGGUGCUAUCCACACCUGCUCCGCGAGCUGGCGGAUAUCCACAUGUGGAUAUCCAUGUAAUAAGAUCGCACUCCAUACCGCGAUCCAUGCAUGAGCUGGAUAUCCAUGAAUAUCUGUUUCCGAGUAUCCAUUGUGAUCACCUUGAAUGGCAACUUUGGGAGACCCCAACUGCAUGCCAACUCUGGGAGGUUUUUCCGCUCGAUCGUGUGCCUACGCGCAAGAAAAAUGAAGGAAGAAGCUAGAGAAAAAUGGAUAACUAGAUAUAUCAUGGGGAAAUAAGAGGGAAAGAGGCGGGCCGGCCAGCGAGCAAGCGGAGAGCAACUCCCACGAGGUUUCGCAUCCUUAUGGUCAAUGGCGGCCGGCGAAGUGAGCCAGCUAGCAAGUGCAGGGCAACUCCCACGAGGCUUCCCUGUAGCUACACAUGACUGGAAGCGCGUCUGGCGAGCUUUUUUUAGCUGAAAAGGCUAGCGACAUAAUAAACGUUUGAUGUUUUCUAAGGAAAUUAAUGAUUUUGCAGAAAAGCCCCUCCAUUCCUCCAUCCUUCUCCAUGUAAUAUAUGCAUGUUUCUUCUCUUUUCAAUAAAGUUGGUCAAAUCUAAAAAAAACCGACUGUUAAUGGGUAUUCAUAUGGGUAUACCGUUAGAGCUGAUUUUUUUUGGCAAAAUAACCAUAUUAAUGGUUUUUGGUAUCUAUUCGAAAUAUAAGUAUGCCAUGCAUUGAAGACUUUCUCAUUUUUUUAUUUUUUUUAAGACCGCGGAAUUGAUGGUCUAUACGUACGUUGUAUUUGCAUAUCAUAUUUGUUUGGUAUUUGACGGUAGUCUUAGCUAGCUAGAGUAGUAUUUCUUCAUUUUUAUAAGAUUAUUAAUUAUUCAUACAGAACGACUGACCCCUGAUUGACUCGUCAGGGGAGGGGCGGCUGGCCGGGGAAUCAACGGUGAGUCGCCGGAAACUAGUACUUCGUAACGGCGAUUUGGAGGAGGUGCGUAGAUUAUAUCAAAACACAUACGCAUUACCAUCUACAAGUUCAUUAGCAAUCAAAUCAAAGAUACUGUCCAUAUAUAAGGCUGCAUAGACCAACCAAGAUGGAAUAAUUUAAACGUUAAUAUACUGUUGCAACCUUUAAAAAUCUAAAUGGUUGUUGAUUUAAGCACUCGUAAUCCCACAGAGAACCCAUCAAACAACUCCCUUCUGUAGAUGGGGUAUCAAACCAACAGAAAUUCUUUUUACUAAACAUGGCAUGUUGAAACAGUAAGCAAAAAGACACCAGCAGAUGGUUGCAGGUUUCAUAUGAUAUGGCUAGAAUUAUGCCAAACUUUGACCAAAAAUUUCAUUGGUAAUAUGAGAUUAUUGCGGCACAAAAGAUAUAUUGUUGGAUUCGUAUUGAAUUAUUCUUUUUCUAAUGAUAUAAUUUUUAUAUACAUAUACUAAAUGUAAUUUGAAUAAUUGUUGGUUAAAACGUGGCACUAACUUCAAUCAAUAUAGCAGCCUUAUAAAUCUAAACGGAGCGAGUAAGAGACUUGCAUCGAGAGAAACCCAGAACAACUAUUUUUAUUAAUUGAAAAAAUUUAUGCCACUCCCAAAGUGCGAAAUCACAUGAUCUACGUACAACACUCGUACGCAUCCUGCAAACGCGUCGGCAGCGCAUCGACACCCCUUUUUUUUCUUCCAGCCGGACUAUUCCGCCCCUUUCCGUCCACUCAAACGGAAAUAGCCAGUUCUUACAAGAACAGCAGGAGAGAGGGGAAAGCGGGUUGACUGAUUGGGAACCACAGUAGCUACAGUGGGAAACCGAUCGAGACCAGAUAGCCAGAAAGCACGCGGCGAGCAGGCCAAUUAAGUGAACGAGCAGCUAAAGGAGGAGAGCUGCUAGCUUUCCUACGGGGAGCAGCUAAAGGAGGAGAGCAACUCCCACGAGACUUCCCUGUGCUCGCUACCUAUCAGGUUUUUAUUUAUUUAUUUAUUUGCGAGAACUCGUUACCUACCUAACGCCGACGGAUCCAUGUCGCCGGCAGAAAGCUAAGGUUUCGUGGGGUGUGUGGUAUAGUAGGGUGGGGAAACGGGGUCGAUUCGGUCCCAUUAAAAAGGACCGGAGGUGGUUUGUUGGAUCGCUGCCGGAUGGCUUCGGGAAUAAGAAAAGGGUUGAUGCGUUCUACCCUGAGCGGACGAGCGGACCGCGCGGCGCUCCGUUUUUCUGUCCGUGGGAUGAAGUCUGACGCAGAAUGCGUCUUCACGGACCAAAAAACGGACGUGGAAACAAAUACGUCAUCCUGCUGGACCGUGUUUUUGUCCGUUUAGACCUGAACGAACUACGCCGGUCCAGAUGGAUCGCCCCGCCAGAGUUGGCCUAACAACCGGCCGGCUCCAUCGAUGGAGAGCAACUCCCACGAGGCUUCCACCAAGCUGCUGUAGCUACCUGACUGGAAAGCGCGCGUCUCCACAUGCUUUAAGUAUUUUCUGACGCUCUGUCUAUCUACAUAUAAUAAGCGUACGCAUAGUAUAUGGGCACGCGCUAUACAUGCACACUAUAGCUAGCUAGCCUGACGAGAUCUAGGCCGUCUGAUAGUAUAUAAGCGUACGCAUAUAUAGUAUGGCCUCUCCUCGUUAGAUCACUCUAGCUCCUCCUUGGCAACACUUUGAGCAAGAGCACACUUCUUCUGGCCAGGUGAGAGAUCAGUUAAUUAAUUAAUCCAUAUGCAAUUUUCUCUAAGUACUGUCGAUUAAUGCAUGGUCUAGCUAGUAUUAGUUUGGAGUAGCACUAAGUAUCCAUGCAUAUAACUACUUAAGUAUUUCCUUUCAUUUUGUAAGCUGCUUAUUUACUUAUUCGCAUUGAUACUAAAUUGACUGGUUCAGAUCGAGUGACUCUUCAGGGGCCCGGGGAAUUAAUGGCGCCCUGGUGGACGAAUCUCAAGAAACUGUUUCGUGAGCACGACUUAGAGAAGGUAAUGUAUAUCGACAUCUUAUGGAGUGUACAGUAGUACUCGCUCGAUCCUUUCCCUAAAGAAGGGCAUUUUAGUUUUAUUCUAAAAACUAAACAAGCCUCGUGUGUAUAGAAUGGAGAGUACGUCCCUGGAGAGCCGUUCCUAACAGAAUAUGAGCUCAAGAAUGUAAGUCCACGUUGCCGGGAUCUACAUUCUUACUAUCUGCAAGUGUUCCAACGUCAACAGGGUAUAAAUCUGUCCAUCGAGCACCACCACUUCCAUCAUAGUGAUGGUGCUCUUAGCAUCACGGUGCCUUGGUCGGAUUUGUGGAAUUUAUACAACCUCAAGGAGCUCAACGCCUCGCUUAUGAGAUGCUGGACAUUGUAAGUAUUGAGAAUAUUUGUCAUUAGUUCAAACUACUUGCCGCUAAAUAAAGCAUCAAAUUAACACAUUUGUUUUCUUUCACUAGGCACCUCAUCAAAAUUUUCGAGGAAGAAGAAUUUCCAAUUGGGUUCAUGGACCCACAUUGGAUGUCUGGUCAAUCAAUUGAGGCCGAUCGGAAUAAGAGCAGGAAUUAUGUGGCCGAUGCACUGGCGGCACAUACUCAACGGGGGAAAGAGAUGAUAAUUGUUGCAUACUACAGUGUUGAGUACGAUCAUUGUAUCAUGAUCGCUAUUUUUCCGUCCGAGAACAGUGUUAGUUACCUUGAUUCCACGCAGGGUAACAACUGGAGCAAUGUGGCGGAGUUCAUAGAUGAGUAAGUUACUCCGUACAAUUCAACUUCUCUUCUUAAGUUUGUUCGCUUGCUAAACCCCUUCAAACAUUCCAACUCCUGGCAAUUAAUUCUGUCAAAAAUAACGUAGGGCAUGGUCUCUCGCUCGUGAUAAGAAAGGAUUGGAAUCCGGAAACCCCAAACUGUCCCACGACUUCGAGGGCAUGUGUCUCCGAAAACAGGUAUUGGUGGAAUGUGGUUUCUCUGUAUGCCAUAAGAUGUUGUCAUUUGUCGAAAAUAUAUUCGCUGAAGAAAAGAUCACCAAGGUAAAGCUCUAAUAUUAGUUCUUAAUUAUUUUAGUUCAUUUUCGCAUAAAAUCCUAGUCUCUCUGAUUGUCUGAUUAAUUUUGACGACAAGACGAUGUUGGUGGAGUGCGACAUGAAGAAGAUUAGGAACCAAUUAUGUGACUUCCUCAUGGAAGAAUUGGAUGCCAGCAGUUCAGAACUCGUCACAUCGAAGCUUGAAGAGUGUAGUCUCGCGUCCUCAAUGAGCGAAUAGGAUGGCGCACCAACAGCCUGGCACGAGGCUCCGCGGAAGCGUUCUUUCCUAUAAGGGGAUCUCUAUGUGGUGCCUUCUGUUGCAAAUAAAAUUGUACGUCGCGGCCCAGCUGGUGUGAUGCUGCCGCGGCAGCAUGCAUUUCGUUGUUUUUUGUUUCCUGCAUUUCAAUUUCUGCCAUGGUUGUUAUGCGGCGGAUCUUUUACUUUCACGAGAGCACGAAUGUUGUGUGUGCCGUGCAUGUAGAACUCGAUUGCUCGCACGAUUCGCCGUGGGAUGGCACGGCCAGUCCGGAUCGUGAGACGGGUUCUCUUGCUUAUGAAUAAAUGAGAAACAACCCUCAAAUGCAGCUAACAGUUCGCUGCGCCAAAACUCUCUUGUGUCCACUGUGAAUCGCGCUGAGUUUUCUGUGUGAGUUCGCGAAUUGGAGCUAACGAGUGUUAUCAGAGCCACGGUUUUCUGAUGACAGUGCCUGCACGAAGAAUGACCUUUGUAAGCUAGUGAACAAAAUUACAAUGGGACACAUCAUGUCACAUCAACGAUUCAAUUCACCUCCUGUGGGAUUAGCAAUAUAUAUCAUCCAGGUAUUGACUCUUUCGACUCUCCAAAACAAGGGUUACGCCCAAACAACCUGGCGCAUUUCCAAGCCGAACCCUCUUGGCUAAUCUUGCGCAGGAUGGCCAAGGCAUCCGGAGAUGCCCGGCCCAUCAAACACGAUGGCGUUCUUGUGUUUCCGGAUACACUAGCCGGAUGUGUACGUGUGUGACUUGUACAAGACUAGAUAAACUCAGCUGAAGCGUGUGCAUUGUGAAUGCCGUGUGAGACGGAUGUCACCGUGUGAGAUGGUGCUGCACGCGAGCUGAAGAGAAGCCAAAACUGUCUGCACAUCCAAGUCACCAAGUCCUUGAUUCAGUUAUACCUUGCCGAUUGAUUUGGUCAGGUUUGCUUAUUAGUGGCUGCAUGCAUUAGAGUUAGUGGUGUGUGUGGCAUAAGCUAGUCGACCCGGGCAGUUUGUUGCUCCGCGUCUAGGUGCGUAAUAGCUAUUCCCCGAUACAAAUUAAUUGUCGCAGCUUUGUCUAAAUACGAUGUUUGACACGAAAAAAUAUAAAACAUAUAUUUCUUUGUCGCACCGAGGAAAUAGAAUAAUUGCGGGCGUGGCAGUAUACAUUCGUAUACAAAUAAAUAAAUGAGACAGUAAAACAUAGGGAAAAUAUUUAUUAAUUCUCUUUUGAAUUAAAAAAGUAAAAUUGCCCACAUGAUUACAAAUCUUAUGCCAUUGAGAAUCAUCUGACUUGAAUCGGCGAUUGCAGAGUUGCAAUUUCCCGGGGACUCGCAAGUACAACCCGGUUAAUUACAUCUGCAGGAUCAAGUCUGCAGAACACCUCCGAUUAAGCUGCGAUGAUGGUCAUCAUGUGAAGUCAAGAUGUUCUCCAGACAUGUAUGGGCGGCAAGAGUAGUCAUGUAAUGUGCCAAAGCCUUGACGGUCUUUUAGUGUGGAAUAUCCGGCUUGAUAGCGGCGGAAUUCAUACAAGUCUCAAAGUGGUGAUGAGGAGGGAGUAGUCCCCUCUGGACCUUGGGUCCAUGGAAGUAUCUUGAUCUCUCUCUCUCUCUCAUGACCCUAAACCAUAAAAUCACAUGAGUUGCCGAACAUGGUUAUGAUCACAGUUGUUAUUUGUAUUGGUGUAAUCUUUGUCAUGGUUUGAUGUUAUGAAUUGCUUAUUCUCAUAUUUGUCUCUUGAUAUUAUUAAUAGAUACACAUGUUUACCUUUCCUUGUUCCCUAUGUUGCUUGGAUAUUAAUAUGGUGAUGUGUGUAUUAGGGAAUCCGGCGGACGAUUAGGUGGAAGUCUUGUACUUUGAAUAUCCUCUGUCUUUAUAAUGCUUGUAUUUAUUGCUUAUGCCACUAGGGGUAAAAAGAAUUGAAACUCCUCCCUUACCAAGUGACUAGAUGGUACCCUUUGUGUGAGGUUGUGAAUUUUAAACAUCAUGUUUCUUAAGUGCGUAAUGUUGUGAAUUUUACCAAGUUCGAUCUCUUAUCAUGGAAUAUUGGUAGAAUUUUAAACUAGGCGGACGGUUAGGUGGAAGUCCGUUGCCAAGUGCUUAUGCCACUAGGGGUAAAAAGCUUGUCUAAUACUCAUACGCCUUGAAUAUUAGAGAGUAGUGUAAAAGCACUCUACCUACGAAACAUGAUGCCCAUGUUAGUUUUAUUCAUAGUUAAAAUCAUUUCUAAGAAGUGCUAAGUAUAACUGUCUUCUAUGCUAUUUUAGUGCCACCAAAAUUAUUAGAGAGUAGACAAGUGAACCCAUGAACCCCGGGACCUCUUUAAUCAUUGUUAUCAAUCACUUUUAUAUUUAUUUAGUAUUUAUUACCUUGCUGUCCGGAUUUUACAAUUAUCCAAAGACCCAAAUUAAAAAUCCUUUCUAAUUUAUUACUUGCUUAUUAGCUUCCCUAUUACUUUAGUUAUUGAGUGUAUACUUUACUUUAAUUUCAGUUUUUAGUUUAUUUUUAUUAUUUAUUUUGUGUCAUAUCAUUGUGACCGACAACCACUUUGAUAUCUUGCUGGGGACACGAGAUAGUUCCGUGACUGGACCUAGGAGGGCGAAGUUUGAUUUCUUCACAAAUCUUCCCAAGAAUUCGAUAAUAAACCCCGAGUCACCUUUGUGGGAAAAUACUGCUACUAGCUGCACACUCUGCGCUUGGAGUCGCAGCUAUCAACGGCCCGCUCGGCAGCCCCAACAGAUCUUGCCGUCUACAUCCGGAAGGCGCUACCGGGUGCCGCGGUCGAUCGAGGUCAUACAUUAACCAAGCGACAGAUCGUGAGAAAAUGACUAAUUUACCCCUCCAAAGUGGGGGCCAGUAUUCCCAUGGAUCUCUUAUCAUGGAAUAUUGGUAGAAUUUGUCUUCUAUUAAAGAUACUCUCAAAAGCACAGAUCAUCCUCUUCUCGGUGCAUUGAUCGGAUUAAAAUAACUCCCGCGAAACAAACAAAAAAGUAUGUGCUGCAUCAAUUAGCACGGGUGCUUAGCGCUCUGUUUAGCAAACCGCGAUGGGCGGGUACAGAAUAAUUUUUGAAUUCCUGGCCUCUCACUGCUGACACACGCUGCUAGCCCACUUGUUCUUUAUCACCUUUUAUCCCCCCUUGCGUAUGGCUAUUAUCUUUUAUUGACGAAAACAGUAUGGCUAUUAUGACCGGUAAAAACUCAACCUAUUUUGCAAGAAACUGUACUCCCUCCGUCACGUCACAUAUUAACUGACUCAACUUUCAACUUUGUCUAAAUAUGGACGUAUCUACUAUCUAUAUACUAUCGGUAAAAACUCAACCUAUUUUGUAAGAAAUUGUACUCUCUCCGUCCCAUAUGAAGUGAGUCAAUUUUGUCUAAAUAUGGAUGUAUUUAUAUACUUCCUCCUUUCGGAAUUACUUCUCGAAAUAUUACAUAUAUCUAGACGCUUUUUAAACAUAAAUACAUCCAUAUUUAGGCAAAUUUGAGACAAGUAAUAUUGGACGGAGAGAGUACUAAAAUAUGUCUAGACACAUGUAAUGUUAUUUCACUUAUUUCCGGACCGUGGAAGUAAAAAAUACCAUCUAACAAAAUUACAGCGUCAAAAAUGAGUCAGCCUCGCUGGCCGCGCCGUCUAUUAUUCUAUUCCGCCUAGCAAAAGCAGAUUCCAUGCUGCCCGGAGAAUAAUGGUACAAGCCGCGGUCGAUCGAGGUCAUACAUUAACCAAGCAACAGAUCAUGAGAAAAUGACUAAUUUACCCCUCCAAAGUGGGGGCCAGUAUUCCCAUGGAUCUCUUAUCAUGGAAUAUUGGUAGAAUUUGUCUUCUAUUAAAGAUACUCUCAAAAGCACAGAUCAUCCUCUUCUCGGUGCAUUGAUCGGAUUAAAAUAACUCCCGCGAAACAAACAGUCGUUCGUCGUCCUUGGGUAUUUGCCGCUACCGAUUUCAUGUAAUCUGAAAUAUAUCUGAAUUAUAUAUAUAUAUAUAGAAGAGAUAGAUGGAAAGAUACUUGCAUGUCCAAGACAUUGGAGAACAGUUUCUCACUCGAUAAUACAAAUACACUGAUCACCAAAUUUGCAACGUCCUGGUUACACGGACAUGAUCGAACCAAAUCCAACUUGACGUUGUAUAAUUAGCAGCUUGGAGGUGCAGAGUCGGCUUGCCAAGCUUGUUCCUUUUCCAUUUCCGGGUUUUCCUUUGGAGGUGUGGAAUCGGAUUGCGAUCCAUGCUUGGUCCUUUUCCGUUUCCAGGCUUUCCUUUGGAGGUGCGGAAUCGGGUUGCGACCAGGAAGUCGAUUAAUUGUCUUCUAAGAACAUUUUCAGCAAGACCCCUAAACAAGAUCCCUAUCCCGUUUUAGGGCCGGAAGCAAAAAAACUUCUUCAACAGGACCUCUAUUUGAUCCCCUAAAAUAGGGAGGCCCCUAGAAUCCACUCUCAAGCCCCCGUUCCCAGGGGCUCUCCAAGGAAGCCCCUAUUUUUGCCACGUCAGCCCAGCUCCUCCUCUUCUCUCCUCCUCACUCCUGUCUCUGUCCCUGCGCCACGACUGCCGCCGGCUACCUCCCAGGCCGUCACCGCCCGUCCCCCGCGCCCCCCGCCUUGCCUCCCCUGCGCUCGGCGGCGCUGGUGGCCGGCUCCUCCACUGCCUCCACCUCCCUCGACGCCGCCGGUCCACUCCCAUGCCUCCACCCCACUGUCGUCGCGCCCUUCCCUGCCUCCACCCACUGUCGCUGCCUCCCUCGGCGCCGUGACGCCCCUCCCUGCCUUCACCCCCGUCGCCGCGCCCGUCCCCUGCCUCUGUUUGCGCCGCCGCCCUCAACGUUGCCACGCCCCUCUCCCUCCUCCGCCCCGACCAUCCCCCGGCGGCAUCGCAACCACAACCGCCUCGCUGCGCGUGGCAGAGCGUGCCUGCGCCUUGGCCGCCGCCGGACCGCCUGCCCGCCGUGCAGCUGGUCGGUCGUCGCCCGACCGCCGCGUCCUACUACCUCGGCCGACUACUACCUCAGGAAGAAGAAGAUGAGAGGAGAAAAUGACCCACUGACACACGGGUCCCACUAAUCAGUGUAAUACUAAGAAUAAAUAGGGGCAGAUAUUUAGGAGCUACUGCUGAAGAUUGACCUGAAAUAAGGGCUCAAAAAUUUAGAGAAAAAUCCCUAAACAAAAUUUAGGGGUCUUGAUUUAAGUGCUACUGCCGAAGAUGCUCUAACCGUCUCGACGUGGCACACUCGCACUUAUCCAACAAUGCCUUAUUGUAAGAAAAAAGAAGACUGUUCAAAGGCUAGGAGUGUGCCGUUUGUGGGCUGUACCAUGUUGGGCUGCGGGAGUGGAGGUGCUAUUCUGGGCCUGGAUGGAUGGGCUAGGCCGUUAGUAAACAAUUACGUGGUCUGAAUGAGUAAUAUACUCUGUAUUAUUUAGAUGGGCCGGACCCGUGCUACAGCCCGGGCGCCCUUGCGCGUGCGAGCGUUGUUUUAAAGAAAAAAUUGUUGGAAGAUGAUACUACGACUACUCGUAUAAUCUUCCAGGAGAACCAGGGACUUUGCUCGUCUAGCAAGCAAAGGAGGACGUCCCAAAGAAAAGAAAAGAAAAGCAACCAAAAUGCGUGACAAAGAGAAAACAUAAAGAAGGUUCUAGAUGCUUCCCGGUCCAACGUGAUGGAACACCGUUGACUGACAGUGACAGCAGCUAGGCUGAUCCCACCUGUCAGCCACCAACAACUACCUGCCCCGUCCGUCCCCUUUGUCUCCUUCACUCAUUCGUUGCUGGGUCCCUUUUUUGAUUAUUUAUAUUUAUAUAAGAGAAGAACUAACCCAAACCGAAUCCGGUGCCUAUCCUACCCCUCCUACCUCUGUCAGGCCGCUCCCCUACCUCAUCUUCGUUCCGUCCAUUCAAAUGGCGCUGGGGCACCAUCAAAGCAUUUUCAACUAAGAAAUAUACGUGACAACCGUAGCCGAGUAAGAGCUACCAACCGGUUAAUGGCGCCUUUACGACACCCGUCUUCCUCAUGUCAGCUAUGUCCAUUCAAAUAGCGCUGGUACACCAUCUUCACUUUUUUCAACUCAGAAGGACGUGUUAACCAGUGCCGAGUAAUGGCACUGCUGCACCGAGAAACAAGCCAAGGCUGGCGGGCAUGCGUGCCGGUUCCCCAUGCACCCUGCACUGCAACACGCCGCCGUGCACGCAGCGGCAAGGGAUUCAAUCCGCGUCCAAUUGCCCACCCAUGCAUGCAAACCGAUCCCUAGUUCUUCCCCUGCGUUAUUUAAACCGAUUAUGGCCAGUUAACUUUGCCGCACCACUCUUACUACAUCUACUUCAUCUUACACGGCCACAACAAGCGAUGCCACCAUUGCAAUGGCGUACAACGGCACGACGUGGAUACCACCGCACACCACUCUGAAGCCCCUCUACCCCGCCGGCGUCCAGGUGCAGAGGACGCUGCGCGUGUGGACGAUCUCACGCUGGAGAAACCCGUUCGAGUUUGCCAGGUUGUUCCUCCUGGCCGGCUUCAGGCACUUGGGCGCGGAUGCCGCCCCCAACAUGUUCCAACUGCAGCAGCUUCAGAACGCCGCCGGCAUUAACACCGCUGUCAUCGUCACCUUCGAGAACCCCUACGACGCGGCGUUCCUGCUUGGCCGUGUCUACUGGUGUGGGUGCAGAGUUCAUCGCAUUCACCCUCUACAACGUCUACACCGACAACGAGUUACACCGUGGCUGGCCAGAUCCGGGCCACCAGCGCACUCUGGCUUACGCCGAGCCCCCGGCGGCGGCGCCCCAGCAGCCGGAGGAGCGGGAGCAGGAUGCCCCGGUGGUGAUCGAGUUCGAUGGCGACGACUGAUCGGCUACGUCAUCUUGCAUGCACUUCAUGGCGUCCUACAAGGAUGCAUCUGUGUGUCCAAAUGUGGCCCUAUCAUGGCAUAUCUACGAGUGCUAGAACUGUUCUGUUUCUGAAUGCUUGCGAUGCUUCUAUACUUCUGUCUCGGCCCAGUUUGAGUGUUUCUUUUGUCUUCUUCAUUUCAUCUUAAAUGAACAGGGCCCACUCUCUUUUCCGUUGCUUCCUCUCAUGGCUAUAAGCACAUCAUCUGCCUCAAUCUACGCGGCAGCCCAAAACCUAGCCGUUCUUCUCCCCCUUCCCCAAACAAAAAUGUGAAAGUACUUCCAUUGCUCCGAAGGCAGUUCUUCCCCGGGCGGAUCACCCGUCCGCCGUUCAGGGCGCCGUUCCCCUCUCUGCGGCGGGCGAGGCGGGAGUGGCGGUCACGGGGGACGUGGCAGCGCGUCCCCCGCCGGAGCCGGCGUAGGGAAAGGCACGGCCGGCGACAGCGGCCAAGGCAUGAGCGGUGCCUCGGCAGACGAUGACGCAGCCCGCCGACUUGCCCUCUCGGAGAGGGGGCGGAAGCGCGGGCUCCGCCGCCUUACGAACUGCAGGGGCCUCAUCGGCCACAACGACGACUACAUUGCCAUCGACUCGGAUCUGGACCAGAUCGUCGAGGCGUCGAAGCUCACCGAGGUGGACGACGACAUACGUCGUUACCGCAAAGAUGACGUCAACCUCGACAACGCCACCAGUCGCUCAAUCUCCGGCAUCGAUGACGUUGCCAAGGGCAUCAUCAACAUCUCCAGUGACGAUGAGUAGGAGUUCUGCGAAGGCCUCAUUAUUAGUAUUAGUUUCUAGUCGCGCUAGAUCCGAGUCCCGUAUGAACUAGCUCUUUACGAACAUGCUCUUCUACUAUUCUUAGAUCCUGUGUGUUAAUGGAAGAUGGGUUUUCUACUAAUGAACUGUGGUAUUUUAACACCUGUUAGUGAACGGGAGGAUUGCGCGUCAUCAUAUUACGUGUUCUGUGUAAAAACACGUUUUCUGAAAUAUACGCUUUAACUUGACCUGUUCUCCAGCUUCGAAGGCCGGAUUUUCUCAUAUACGCUUCAUAUGAAUACGCCUUCAUUGUCCUACGGUACAUUGUUGUCCUACGGAAGGCGGUUUUUCAGAACUCGCUUCUUAGGAAUACGCCUUCGGUUUGUGUGUCCUACGGUACAUUGUUGGUGGCUUUCCUGAAAACUGCUUCUUAGGAUUACGCCUUCGGUGGCAUGUCCUACUAUACAGUUCAAUACAACUUUCAUUAGAACAAAUCAUAAUCAUUGCCCCGCAUCAAUUGCAAAUCCAUCCUCUGCUCAGCCCCCUAAAUUAAGUGAACUGCUGAGCCCCCUAAAUUAAGUGAACCCUCAUCAAUUCAGUACAAAUUGAUAGAUUUAUGAUCGAACUGAAGAAUCACAUCCCCUUAAGGACAAAGAAAAUCAACAUCACUACAACGACACACACAUAGAAGGCAUCACGCAUCAUCAUUUCCUGCUGCUUAAGCUUCACCAAGUUGCGCAGAUUUGAAUUAAGCAUCUUCAGCUCCGCAGCAACUCCACUGGCGGUGGCAUUUGCGACACCUUGCUGUUCUGCCCCAAACAACGAAGGGGAAUCAACUUUCGGCAAUGCCCAGCUGCUCAAAUCCACCCCUUCGAACUGUAGCUUCUCGACGUACGCAUCCAACCAAGAGAAGUAGCUGCAUUUCUUCUAGAUCUGGAGGGGGAAGGGGGCGAACCCUAAUCGUGAACGGAACGGAAAUGCCAAAUUCGAGCCAAAAAAGCAUGUUAGAUGCAAAAUCUAACCUUUCCUGGCUUCGGCCGGCUCUCGCACUUCACAAAUUCGCGCCCAUAGUUCCCGGUGUCCACCUUCUUGCAUGUCAGCCGCACGAGCUGCUCCUCCCGCGGGCAUUCGGUACAGCGGGUAAGGGGAACUGGACCGUAUUGAGGCCAGGCGUGGGAUGGAGAAGACGAGCUACCACGUGACAUGGUUCUGGUCAACAAACGGCGCAGCCGCCGUGCAAGUCGUCCUCGUCGUCGCCGGAGAAGAGGGGGACGGAAAAUAACGGGAAAAGAACAGGGGAAACAGUCACGCGAGUACGGUGUUGUUCCGGUCACGCUCAUUCUUAUGGGGCCAAGCGCCACGUGGAAAUUAUUUGGGGUCCUACCUGUAAGGGUUAUUUCGUGCUCAUCGUGCUGACCUGGAUAAGUUGUCAGGCCCACCUGUCAGGUAUCUGUUCUUUUCCUAAGCGGGGAGCUGUUGGACCCACCUGUCAGGUAUCUGUUUUUUUCAUAGCUGUCGUGGAUAAGUUGUGAGCCCCACCCACAUAAUCAAACUCAUACUCAAUGAGCACAGGUAACGGCCCACCAUCAAUUUGCCCUUCCGCAUCAAGGUCCAAAAGUGCUUCUCAGAUAUUUUCUCGCGCACGUUGUAGGCAGGAUCCAUUCACAGCGAAAGGAGCCUCGCGGGAGCGAAUUCGCCUUUAAGGGAUGGCCGAGGAGCUAUUUUGCCGAGUGGAUUUGCUCCAUGUGCCCACAAUUCCCCGACUGCCGUGCCGCCGCACAAGAGAAGUGCCUCCGCCGCCAACACGAUACGCCUCCGCUGAUACACGAAUCGAGCCGCCAAGCUGGGAUUUCACAAAUCACGAAGAGCCCGUGACCCGCUCGCUGGCUGCCCAAUUUGUAUCCGAACAAAUCGUGUCGCCUGCGCCGCCAAGCUCACCACAGAUGCAGGUGACACUCUUCGCCGCCGCCAGUGGAACACGCUGAUGGAAUUUUAUGAGUGAGCCCAACCACCAACGCCUCAACACCCGGAAUCGCCGCCAGCAACCGUCAGACAACAGCCGUCGUCUGCCAAACUCGGGAGAGAGAGAGAUCGGCAGAUUUUUUUCUCGAGAUGAGAAAUCAACCUGGCUCUGAUACCAUGUGACACUCGAUCCUCCACUACUCGAUUGAUAUGUUACGGAUCUGAUACAGAGGGAGAAUGUUCUUUGGGACCAUGGUCCUGGUGCACCAGGGGCUCGAUGACUGACAUGUGGCACAUGUGGAUGCGUGCUAAAACCAGCCCGGCGCUAAUCAUCCAGCAUUAGGGUUAACCAUGGUACAAGAUGCGGCUUGUACCAUUAUUCUCCGGGCAGCAUGGAAUCUGCUUUUGCUAGGGGGAAUAGAAUAAUAGACCGCGCGGCCAGCGAGGCUGACUCAUUUUUGACGCUGUAAUUUUGUUAGACCGACAUCGAUGGUAUUUUUUACUUCCACGGUCCGGAAAUAACUGACAUAACAUUGCACGUGUCUAGACAUAUUUUAGUACUCCUUCCGUCCAAUAUUACUUGUCUCAAAUUUGCCUAAAUAUGGAUGUAUUUAUGUUUAAAAAGCGUCUAGAUACAUGUAAUAUUUCGAGAAGUAAUUCUGAAAGGAGGAAGUAUAUAAAUACAUCCAUAUUUAGACAAAGUUGACUCACUUAAUAUGGGACGGAGAGAGUACAAUUUCUUGCAAAAUAGGUUGAGUUUUUACUGAUAGUAUAUAGAUAGUAGAUACGUCCAUAUUUAAACAAAGUUGAAAGUUGAGUCACUUAAUAUGUGACGUGACGGAGGGAGUACAGUUUCUUGCAAAAUAGGUUGAGUUUUUACCGAUCAUAAUAGCCAUACUGUUUUCGUCAAUAAAAGAUAAUAGCCAUACGCAAGGGGGGAUAAAAGGUGAUAAAAGAACAAGUGGGCUAGCAGCGUGUGUCAGCAGUGAGAGGCCAGGAAUUCAAAAAUUAUUCUGUACCCGCCCAUCGCGGUUUGCUAAACAGAGCGCUAAGCACCAGUGCUAAUUGAUGCAGCACAUAUCGCAAGGUGUCAGAGGUUUGUCCGGGAUUCAAAAGGAACGGCGGAUGGGGGGUGGUGCAGCGGAACCAUGGUCCCAAAAGAAGGCUCUCGAUACAGAGUCCUCAGCGUCACGCCGAGAUGCAAGAAUCCUUGGAUCUAAAGUCCUUGGAGGAGAAAGGGAAAGGUAUUCAGCUAAGCUGUUACAAAUUAGGCUGAAUCUUCUCUUUGGCGGCCCACUGAGCUCGCGCCAGCCUUCUAGCUUUCUUCUUCUCCAAUCUUGCAACACCCUGCGUCCUUCUCCUCUGCUCAGCGUCCAUGAAUAUCGUGACAAGGGUCGUUCAGGCGGACGCGAAGCCCGAAGAUUCCUUCGCCGCAUGGGUAUGGCCUCCUUCUGCCUCAUCCACUCCCGUGGCCAGCGCGCGGCGGCGGAGGAAAGGCCGGGACCUCCGUCCGGCGAGCUCCGUGGCGGCGAGCGCGAUAAGGCCGGUGUUGUUUCGUAGUAGUGAGGCAGGCGAGGACAUCCUGCAGCUUGUCCGGGGCGAGCCACUGUCGCGCCGCUCCAUCCGGGUCCUGCCGGCGAGACACUACGCGAGCGCGAGCGGAGGCAGGCGAGGACCUACUCGACGGAGCGGCACUACACGCAAGACAUCUAGGUUGCCGGCUGAUUACUACCAGCGACCUAUAUCAGCACGGACACUGCGCAGUUCCGCCGCAUGGUGCACGGGCCGACGACCUCGACCCCCUCUUCCUAUUCCCCUUUUUUGCUUUUUUUUCUUAUAUCUUUUCAAAUUUAUCUCCAGGAGAUGUGGAAUGGAUCUGUAGCGAUGCAGGCUCUUGAUUGGGAUGUGUCUGCAAACAUUUCGUGCUUGCAGUGCGGUUCCUCUACAAAGACUGGGAUUCUGGUUUUUUUUUUUCUAUCUGGUAAGUUUUUCUUGGAUGAAUCCUUCAAUGAUUUACUUCUUUCUCCUAGAUUUGAUCUCUGUCAUCGGAGCAGAACAAUGGAGUCUGAAUCUUUAUUUCGUUAAUUAACUUUUGAUGCCUCAGAUGACAGUUACUGGAGUUUGUGCAUCCAUCGUUGUUCAUCUUUGAUAGAAGCUAUAAUUAUCUGUACCAUGUCUUAUUUGGGUAUUUUCAUUUGUAUAUUAACACCUAACCUGGCAUUGUAGUACUAUUUGGUUGCUAGGUAAUUUGUAAUUGCUUGAUUCAGCAUCUAGAAACUGCAAUGUAUUAUGCUUGGCAUUUGAGGUUAUUUUAUUUAUAGUAUAAUAAGAACAGAAGUAAAAUUUUGCUAGUUUACCUCUACAUGCAACCAUGUGUUUGGAUUUUGGAUAUGGCUAUGUUACAGCUUAGUUUUCUGAACUUGAGAUGGAGACAAUGGGCUUACUCUGAUAUAAAUUCACAAAGAAGCAAGAUGGGAAGUAAAAAUGGGCUUAGUUUACAGCUUAGUUACCUUGAAUGUUGGUUCAGCUUCCUUUUGUCUUCUAACUUAAACUUAAGGCACCAUUUAACAUAAGGGAAAAAUACAGCAUUUCAAAUAUUCAACCCUAUUAUUCUUAAACUAAUGCCCCUGCUGCUAAUUCUUUGAAAACAAUGAACAUUGCCAUACUAAAUUUUACUUUUCACCUGAUCACCUCAGAAUUAUUUUCUACAGAGAAUUGGUGGAACUCACUCAAGGAAGGCCCCAAACUGUCUUUACUUGUUACUGAAAUGUAUAAAUACAAUAAUUUGAUUUGUUAAAUAUACGACAGUAUCACAUGUUUCUUAUGUGCCUCAGAUUGUGCAUUGUACUGAGAUCGCAUCUCCUUUUUCAGCCAAGGUGCUCCAAGAAAGAGAUAUUCUUCCUUGCCAAGGAGCAAGUACAGAGCACGUUCAAGGACAGAGGAACCCUUUUAUGAGAACCCAUUUCCUGACUGCAUUUGCUUGUCUGGGAAACAUUUAUGCGUUGCUGUAUAGGUAUGCACUGGCCUCUUGUGCUAUGAUACUAGACUAAUUUGUUUGGAGUUACAAUGCAGUGAAUAUUGUUUGAGUCCUGUAAAUCUGUCAUUUUGUGGAUCACUUUUCUUCAAUCAUUGCUCUGGUGAACUACAGCAAAAGUAGGUGAUGCAUGUACAUCUUAUAGCUGAAUAGUGUACAGUGUUAUUAUUUAGAUCAGAUUUAAACUAAAUACUGAAGCUCCUAAAGAGUUACUCGUCCAAACGUGCCUUGAGAUCAAAAUUUUAAGAUAUUGGGAAGGGAAACUCCUACUUAUCAUAGAGUAAACUUAUUUGGCCCAGCUUGCCUGUGAAUAUUGAUUUAACCCCACUGCUUUCAGCAACUGUAGCAUAGUGCAUGUAUAUUGAGAAUCAUCUUGAUGCCUUAACAUGUGUCCUUUUUAGUUGUACUGUAUGGACAAUUGAUCUUCGGCUACCACCGAUAGACUGAACUUAUUUUGUCCAGCUUGCCUAUGAAUAUUGAUCUAACCCUAUUGCUUUCAGCAACUGUAGCAUAGUGCAUGAAUAUUGAGAACAUCUUCAUGCCUUACAUGUCUCCUUUUAAUUUUACUGUAUGGAGAAUUGAUAUUUGGCUGCUGCAGUAUCUAAUUGUCAGUUUGAAUUAUCAAUUUGUUCUGUUAAUUGAAAACUAUUUUGCAGACUCUUUGUAAUCUGAUCUCGCAGUGUUUGUUAUCUGCACAGGCCGAGGAAAUGCUCAUUGACUAUCGAGAUAGAGAUGGAAGAGGAAGACCCAUGAAGCCUUUGCUUUUAUUUAUGAUUAACUAGUUUUUCUGUAUUUUUUUUGCUGUAUAUAUGAUUUGACACCUUGGUGUCCCCUUUUCGGUAUAAUUGGGAGAUUCUAGUAUAUCAUGUUUCGUUAUGGCUGUGAUCCCUAUUUGGAUGGGAUUGUAAGAGUGAAUGGCGGAUUGUUAAUAAUAUAUGUGUUGCAUCAAUUUUUGUUGUUCUAAAAUUCUGUUGCAUUAUACCAAUUUAAUAACCAUAGAAAAUAUUAUUGCAAUAACCACAAAACAACGUUUCUAAUUCGGUGUGAUGUUACUGCCACGGUUGCAAUAACCAGAAAAGCAACGUUUCUAAUUCGGUGUGAUGUAACUAUUGCCACGAUCAUUAGCUGAUGCUGCAUGUGAUUGUGACAACGUUAUAUAUUCCGUUGUGAUAACCUUGAGCCAAUAGCAACGUCAUAUAUUUCAUUGCGAUAUCCUUGAGCCUACAGCGAUGUCACAUCUUUUGUUGGGAUAUCCCAUGACCCUAUAGCGACUUGACGUCUUUGGUUGCCCUAUGCUAUCGCAAAGAAAUAUAUAUUUCCUUGCAAGAUCCUCCUCGCCUAUAGCUAGGUCUCACCGUUUUGGUUGCCCUAUCCUAUCGCGAUGAAAUAUAUUUUCUUGCCAAUAACCAUGUUUGCAACCAGCAUACGUUGUUGCAGUUGCCGUUAUAGCAACGGCACAAAACCCUUAUGCAAGGCCAAUGAUGGUUGCUUCUACACACUAUUUCAACGCCACCUUGGUUGCGAAAGGGCGUACGUUCUUGCAUCGCCCGACAAAAAAGAGUUGAGAUAACCUAUCUCCUCGCAACCUUUACCUACGCCUCCCAACACUCGCGUUUUGUUGCGAGUGCUGACUAUCACAACAAAAAUGGGCUUAUAGCAACGAUUUUUCCCCGUGGCCCUAGGCGGAAAAAUUAGUAGUGUAAUCAUGAGUAUCUUCCAAUACAAAAACAGUAGUACCAGUUUUAUUUGCACAUGAAUUAUAUAUCAAUGGACUAAUCGUUGGCAAUGGCUUCGGCCGCUUUGCCAAAGGAAACAAAUAUAAACCAUGCUAUUUUCAGUUAUAAUAUAAAUAUCUAUUGCUGACAGCAUAAAGCAUUUGAUAAAGCUAUUUUCAGUUAUAAUUUUCAAACAAUUUCAUUACAACACACUAUAAAGCAUGCCCCGUGCUAGUUAUUAGCAAAAAUACAAACACACUGAUAAGAAAUCUGCAACGUGAACCAAAUCCAACUCUACCCUGAAUAAUUGGAGGUGCAGAAUUGUCUUGCUAUUCUUGUUUCUUUUUAAUUUUCAGGCUUUUCUUUGGAGGUUCAGAACUGGAUUGCGAUGCUUGUUCCUUUUCCAUUGGAGGUGCAGAAUUGGCUUGCGAUGCCGGUUUGUUUUUCUCCGCUUUGAUUUUCAUGUCUAGGAACUUCUUUAAUUGGCUACUAACCAUCUCGGCGUCGCAUGCCCCCAAUUUCUAAUCACCAAAAAUAGACAGUUCAAAUACUAGGAUUUAAUUAAAUUUUUUAAUUAAAAUAACUAAGAACUAAUAUUGGAGCCUUACGACGGGAAACCCCUCCUUGUUGGCCAAAGUCCAUUCGGCGAUUAACAACAUGUUAUGGCAUGCAUAGUAACCACAUUUCACAGUGUCCGUUUCCGUUUGUUGGUCACAAUCGAAGCCGAAGUGGUGGGACAAUUUAGGGCCAUCAGCAUGAUCGAGGGCCCAUGCCCUAUGUGAUUUUUCAUAGAGUUAUGCGGAGUUAGAAAGAUUGAAGGGAAGAAUUUAGCAAUCGAACAAACUUUAUGAAGAAUUUGAAUUGUACAGAGUAACUUACUGGUCGAUGAACUUCUGCAUUUUCUCCCAGUUGCGUACCUUUUUCUUGGAAUCAAGGUAAUAAACCUCGCUCGAGGACGGAAUAAUCGCGAUUGUGAUCCAAUGAUAGUAGUCGUUGUGUGCAAAAAUUAUGAACCGUUUGUCCUGUUGAACAACCAGCGCAUCGGCCAGAUAACGCAAGACUCGUACUUUAGCCCGUUCAGUCUCUUCUGAUUGAUUUUCCUUAGAACCGCCCUCAAUUGUUUGAUAAGACAUCACAUGUGGGUCCAAGAAGCCAAUUUCAAUUUGUUCUUUGCGGCAUUUUUCGAUGAGGUGCCUGGUGAAAGGAAAUAAAUGUGUUAAUUAGAUGUUGCAUUUAGCGGUAAGUAGUUGGAAUCAUGACAAAGGUUCUUAAUACUUACACUGUCCAGCAUCUCAUAAGAGAGGCGUCGAGCACCUUGAGGUUGUUUAAAUUACACAAGUCCGACCGAAACACCGUGAUGUCAAUACCUUUGUCACUAUGAUCGAAACCUAGGUGCUCUGUAGAGAAGGCUAUAUCCUCUUCUGGGAUUCUGUACGAGUCAUCCUCUGUUUCUUUAUCCAGUGCUGGUGGUGCGUCAUUCUUGUCCUCCGCGAAACUGUUCUUGAACUUAGCAUAGUUGCUACUAAAUUUUCCAUUUCCCCUUUCCGACUUAUUUGGGGAGAAGUCAGGAGUUGAUCCAAAAGAACGUGGCGCAUGCAUGGCAUCCAAUUCAUCCAUGAAGAAGUCACACAAUUGGUUUCUAAUCUCCUUCAUGUCACAGUUCCCCGACAUCUUAUCGACAAAAGUAGACACUUUAGAGACUAGGAUUUUAUGACAAAAUGAAUUAAAAUAAUUAAGAACUAAUAUUAGAGCCUCACCUGGCCAAGGUUUUUCCAAGGCAAAUUACAUUCGACGAAUGACAACAUCUUAUGGCAUGCAUAGUAACCACAUUCCACCAAGACCUGUUCUCCGGAACAGAUAUAAUCAAAGGAGUGGGACAAUUUACAGUUUUUGGAUUUUAGUCCUUUCUCAUCACGAGCGAGUGACCAUGCCCUACAUGUUUUUUCACGGGAUUGACCGGAGUUAGAAAGUGUGAACGGAAUUUAGCAAUAAUCGAACAAACUUCAGAACAAAUUGAAUUGUGUGGAGUAACUUACUCAUCAAUGAACUCGGUGAGUUUCUUCCAAUCUUGACCCUUUAUGCAAUCAAAGUAAGUAACUCUGCUACGAAACGGAGAAAGGGCGAUUGUGAUCCAAUGACUGUACUCAACACUGUAGUGUGCAACAAGUAUGAUAUCUUUUUCCCAGUGAGCCACCAGUGCAUUGACCACAUAAUUCUUGAUCUUCUGAUCAGCCUCAAUUGAUUGACCAGACAUCAAAUCUGGGUCCAUGAAGCCAAUUGGAAUUCCUUCAUCCUCGCAUUUUCUGAAGAGGUGCCUAGUGAAAGGAAAUGAUGUGUCAAUUAGAUAUUGCAUUUAGCGGCAAGUAGUUCGAACCAUCGUCACAAAGAUUCUCAAUACUUACAAUGUCCAGCAUCUCAUGAGGGAGGCAUUGAGCUCCUUGAAGCUGUAUAAAUUCCACAAGUCCGACCAAGGCACCAUGAUCUGAAGAUCACCAUCACUAAGAUUGAAAUGGUGGUGCUUGAUGGACAAGUUUAUACCUGGCUGACUCCGGAACACUCGCAGACAGUAAGAAUGUAGUUUCUGGCAAGGCCAACUUAUAUUCUUGAUCUCAUCUUCUGUUAGGAACGGCUCUACAGGGUUGUAUUUCCGUUUUGGUGCCCAACUCUUGUCCUUGGCUGGCAGUUUUCUUGAAUGUAGUUUUGGCUUCACUGGUUUCCUUUUGGCCUUCCAUCUGCCCUUUUCCGAUGACUUCUUUGGGGAGGAGAACAGAGUUGAUGCAGGAGAAUGCAGCGCAGCCAUGUCAGCCAAUUCUUUCACGAGGGACGCGAGAGUACAACCUUCAAGCUUCGAUGUGAAUUCAGAGUUGCUGGUGGCGCAGCGGAAAACCAUGGAGUAGUCAAGAUCCCUCAUCUUGGUGGAAGCAGCGGAGAGUUCCACUAUGAAGCUGUUAAUGCCCUCUUUUUGGACAAACCUGAAGGUGCCGCUGUGCCUCAUCAAUGAUAUGAGCAGCUUACUGAUAACCUUGAAGAGUACCAGGUUUUGGACCGUGGGGUGGUUAUGGCUUAGUGUUGUUUUUACUACCAUCUCCUUGAGCUUGUUUUGGUGGGCAACCUCGAGCCAAUGAAGACCCAAGUCGGUGACGAACGUGUCAUAGAUUGUGCCAUAAAGGGAAAACAAGGAUGAUAGCAAGGUCGUUGCUGGUCUAACUGGUUGCAGCAGGACGGCUCUGGGUACGUUUUGCUCGUGGUUGUUUGGUGGAUGAGAUGUGGGUAAACAAGAAUUUAUUUGUUCAGUCACCUGCAAUGAAUUUAGCAAAUUAAUAUUAAUUGGUACAGUCUGGAAGAGGUUAUAGUUUAAGUACAAAGAAUAAAACAAAUGCGAAGGUUCAUUAGUAGUAAUACGUAGCUAUACUAAGUAUAUCGAUCUGACAAGGAUUAAUUACCAUGGGCAUGGCAUCGGUCAUUGUUUUCUUUAGCUUUGCAUGGUAUCGGCCAUCAUCCUUGGUGCAAUGAGUACAUAGAUGCUCGAGGAUUUCAGCCGCGUGUUGUCUGCAUGUCUUGUUUUCGUCAGGUCGGACAAGUACUUGAACGAGACCACGAACCUCCUGAAUAUGAACAACUUCACCACGGGAAGAGAGCAGAGACAGUCCUUCUCCUGCAUAUGCUCUCAUGGAGCUGCUAUACUUGCCAGCGUGAGUGAAGAUACUCACCAGCAUUCUCACAAAACCAUAUCUGCUGCUGUUGCUGCUUUGUUUUUGGGUUACAUCAUCUCUUCUGCUGCUUUGUUUUUUGGUAUCCAUGCACAGUCGUGUGAGAAUGUGAAUGGCGCGUCCCUUGAGCUCUUCUUUGCAUGCAUUACAGUUGAGGAUCAUCCAGAGAGUGCUGAUUGCUUGUUUGCAGCUGGAGAUUUCAUCCCGUAGCUUGAUACUGAUUUCUCCCAGAUCAUCGGCCGUGAAUAACAACUGGGCCAUCACUUGCAUUGAUCCAUCUACUAUGUCGGACCAUACUACACCAUGCCGAAGGGUGGUGUUGUGGAGGAGGUCUGAGGCAACAGGCGCCAUGAUCUUGGUGAGAAGACCUGGGGUGUCGCUCAUAACUCUACAGUUGUUCCCGUCAGCUGCAAGCCUCCGGAGGAUACGCAGGCCACACAGCAAGAGCUCCUUGUAGUCCUUCUUCACAGGUUUGCUGGCUGCUGAAGGACCAAGCUCUAGUAUCCAGUGUUUCUCAAAUUCAUCGUAUAGACAGUCUCGGACGUAUGGCUCGGCUAUACUGUAUUCUUCUAGCGUCCCGAUGAGGGAAGAUAUGUGUUGGAUCCCCAUGGGGAACUGCUCCAAACUGAUGCUGCAUGCAAGGCGCUCCACGAUCUUGGCUGCCUGGUUCCUCGUCUCACGGUCAUGUGCACCUCUUGGAUUCAGAGUCUCCAGCAGUUUCUGGAGUACUUGUUCGGAGGAGGAUGCAGACACAACCAGAUGUUUCAGCAGCAUAUGUUGCCCUCUGGCAAUGUCCCGUUGCUCGCGGUAGUCCUCACUCUCCUUGCCACCAUCUUCUUCCUCCGCCUUGUGGUUCUUCUCUGCGAUGCAUAUGGCCGUGUACAAGGUCUGCACCCCCUGAAUGCAGUCAGCAGGUGAGUCGGAACCGAUCAUGUCCACUGCAUGUGUGAUGAGGUUCCUUCCUUGCACAAAUGUUGGGUCCUUCUCGCACCCCCUCUUUGUUUCACUCAUGUACUUGUAAACUAGUUGGAUUUCCGAGUCGUCACGAUCAUCAGUGGCGACUCGCUUAGCCAAUGUCUUCCUGGAGCAACGCAGUAUCCACCUAAAGCAGAAGAUGAAACAUUGUACCAGGGCAAUGCAGUACAAGGUAUUCAGCGACGGCACCAGGUUUGCUUCUCUAUCGUUACUGGACAUGUCCUGGAAAUCCUGCUGUAUCAGACGCCACAGUGAAAGCAGUCCGGAUAUGAGUAUCCCAGCCAAGUAGACAAGCGCCAGAGGGAGCAACAUUACGCCAAACAACACCCCUUGAACUGCCACCAGAACAGCUGCCAACCAAAAGCGUGGCAUUGAAUUCCGAGCACGUCCGCCAACCACGCACGAACAAACGCCCAUAACCAAGCCAGUGCCUGCUUUCUUCAUAUAUCUUAGUUUUUCAUUCGUACUAACAUCGAAGAUCCUGUUGGACAUUUCAUUAAUUUCCAGUUAGAUUGAUUAACGGAAAUAUAUGCACGCGCGUCACAAUUGAAUUGCAUUCGUAAGAAGUUUCAAGCUAGCUAAGCCAUCACUUCUUCCAUGCACCCUAUACCUAUCUGUCCAUCUAUGUGACGACGAACCGAAAGGGAGGGAGGAACAGCUGGUAGUACACUCUCUCAUCACCUGCUGUACAUUCUCUUGGGUUGCGUAAGUAUGGGAGCAAUUAUAACGACAGAACGCUUGCACGUGCAUGUUUGAAUUAAUUAAUAGAUCGGCCAGUGCGGCAAGAGGUUUGGCCCCGCACGCGACUGAGGGUAUCUCGUCGUCUGAGAUCUCAGGCACAAAGGCGUUCCUAAUGGUAUUUAGUUUUUUCCGAUAAUAAAUACCAAAAAACUCUUCCACGCUCGUCCGCGCGGUGCGGACAAUUUCCGACCGCGCAUGCAGUUUCGCUCGCUUUCUCAGGGCAACUCCAGCGGGGAGAUCCAUUUUGUAUCCGUUUGGCCAAACGGAUUCCCCAAUCCACUUUUGGGUCUGCCACUGCCCCAGCAAGGCCACUUAUUUGGUUUGCUUUAUUACUCAUGGACAUGCGGGCCAGUGGAGGAAAAAGGUGGCAGGCGCGGACAAACUCACUGCAAAAACGACCGUUCGCCACGAUCCAAGCAAAAAAUGGGUCGCCCCGCUAGAGAUGGCCUCACAAGGACGGAGACGGGGGGAGGGGGGGAGGCGAUGCUUUACUUAAUAGAUCACUUAAAGAUAGGUGAAGUCUUUAAUUUCGAAACCCCCCCUCACCCCCACACCAAUUUCAACUCGCCUCCCAAUUUCAAUUCGCCUUCCUCGUGUCGAAUUACUUGCUCCGUACCUGUGGCCUCAAUUCCUUGCUUUUCAAACCCGCACAUGGGUGGACCACAGCGCGCCGGACGUUGGGAGCGACAGCUGCUCCACGGAUUGAAAAAAGAAGCAAUGGCAUGCACAUUGAAAGCGACAGCCCUGCUGCAUGUCUAUUUUUCUUUUGCUGAGACGCCCUGCUGCAUGUUGAAAGUGACAUUUGUCCUACCAUAAGCCAUACCUGUUGCUAAAUUAAUUGGCCGGUCGAUCACGGCUUCAUCUUUUGCGCAAAAAUAAAUGCUCAUCCAAAUUUUUGUCCGGAAUUUUGCACUGGAGUUUUGAACUCUUUGUCGAAAGUUUUAGAAGUUCUUUUAGAGAAUUUUGAAGGUUCAUCUAGAAAAACAAAGUCCGUUCCAAAAUGUUAAAAGGUUCGUCUAUAAAAUUUAAAAGUUUCUCUAGAGAUUUUGAAAGUUUGUCUAUUUUCUAAAAGUUCUUUGGGAAAAUUUGAAAUGAUUCUCUCAUAAAGUUUUGAAAGUUAGUUUAGAAGUUUUUGAAAGUUCACCUAGAAAAACUUAAAAGUCCGUUCGAAAAUGUUAAAAGAUCUGUAUAGAAAAUUUAAAAGUUUGUCUAGAAAUUUUUAAAGUUCAUCUAUUUAUUUAAUAGUUCUCUGGGCUCACGAGCUUCUCAUAGAACUAAAAAUUGAAAUUUCUAUGUCUAGAUUUUAAAAGUUUGUAAAAAACUUUAGCCUUUAAAAUUUUAAUAUCUGUCAUGAAGGACAUAAAAAGUUUGUUAUAGGACUUUGAAAACCUCACCGAUAUGAUUUGAAAGCGUGUAGCAUUUUCGAUUGAAAGUGGUGCCACCCGUGUAAUCCUUGAAAACCAGUCUCCCAAAAAGGGAAAAAAAAACUAAAUCCCAACAGCAGAACAUUUCUGUAGUACAAAAGAAAGAAAAAAAGGAAAAAGAGAGGAAAGGCCCGACUAGGCCUGUUAGUCAUUGGGCUGCCAGUCUGGUACGAGGCUGAGCGCGGUAGAGGCCGGGCGUCGGACGAGAGAGAGCGCGGGACAAGAAAGACAGACAAAAAGGGGAAAUAGGAAUGAAACGGAGCGUCACGCGGCAGAUUUG
rnacentral:lncRNA from 1 species